rnacentral:rRNA from 1 species
UACAGAGGUCCCGAGCGUUGUUCGGAUUCACUGGGCGUAAAGGGUGCGUAGGUGGCGGGGAAAGUUUGAUGUGAAAUCUCCAAGCUUAACUUGGAAACUGCAUUGAAUACUAUCCCGCUGGAGGAUUGGAGGGGGGACUGGAAUUCUCGGUGUAGCAGUGAAAUGCGUAGAUAUCGAGAGGAACACCAGUGGCGAAGGCGAGUCCCUGGACAACACCUGACACUGAGGCACGAAAGCUAGGGGAGCAAACAGG